CUUAAUGUGGCAGAUUAGUGCAAUGAAUUUAAGCUUCAUAUAUAAAGAUUCCUCUUUCAUUAAGA
rnacentral:tRNA from 3 species